ACCCUGUGGGAUAGCUCAGUUGGUAGAGCACGAGACUCUUAAUCUCAGGGUCAUGGGUUGAACCCCACAUUGGGUA